ensembl:lncRNA
UCCUCUUCUGGCUGUGCCGGGUGGAGAUUAUAACAGAACAUGGCCAAGAUGUUCAAAUGUUCAUAAAUGACCAGCAUGGUCGAAUAAUAAUAAGGCAGAACAGUUGAAACUGGAGCAGCAGCACAGUCAGGUGGAAGUUGAAACUGGAGCAGCAGCAUGGCCAGGUGGACUGGGGACAGCAAGGAGUCAUCAUGUCAGAUAGUCCUGGGGCAUGGUCCUAGGGCUCAGGUCCUCCGAGAGAGAGAAAAAAAGAGAGAAUUAGAGAGAGCAUAUGUGGGGUGGCCAGUCCUCUUCUGGCUGUGCCGGGUGGAGAUUAUAACAGAACAUGGCCAAGAUGUUCAAAUGUUCAUAAAUGAUCAGCAUGUUCG